AGCGAACGCUGGCGGCAGGCUUAACACAUGCAAGUCGAACGGUCCUUCGGGAUAGUGGCGGACGGGUGAGUAACACGUGGGAACGUACCCUUAGGUUCGGAACAACACAGGGAAACUUGUGCUAAUACCGGAUAAGCCCUUCGGGGGAAAGAUUAUCGCCUUUGGAGCGGCCCGCGUCUGAUUAGCUUGUUGGUGAGGUAAUGGCUCACCAAGGCUACGAUCAGUAGCUGGUCUGAGAGGAUGGCCAGCCACACUGGGACUGAGACACGGCCCAGACUCCUACGGGAGGCAGCAGUGGGGAAUCUUGCGCAAUGGGCGAAAGCCUGACGCAGCCAUGCCGCGUGGAUGAUGAAGGUCUUAGGAUUGUAAAAUCCUUUCACCGGGGACGAUGAUGACGGUACCCGGAGAAGAAGCCCCGGCUAACUUCGUGCCAGCCGCCGCGGUAA
rnacentral:rRNA from 1 species